AACAUCGAAUAAUCACCAAUCCGAUAGAGCUAGUAUAGAGCUGUUAAGUCGAAUCCAUCCGAUCAUAUCACACGCAAAGAAAGAGAGAUAGAGAGGUAGAAGAGGAAGGGGGAAUCGAUGAAGAAAGCCAUGGCAUUUACGACUACUACUCCAUCGUUUUUGGCCAUUCGGAUCUUCAUGCUCUUAGCCGUUCUCCUUAGCCUCCUCCAACUGGCCUUUGCUGGCCGUCUUCUCUCUGGUGCAGGAAGAGUGAGUGGAAGUCCACUACAUAGAGGUGGGGGACAUCACCCCUAAAGCUCCAACCAGCUCUGCAGGCACCAUGUCGUACGUGUUCAAUGUCAACUAUGCCCCCAAGGUAGUAAUAGGAACAUAUAUCAUGAAGUUAAAGUAUUCUGCUUUGUCUCGCCAAAUGAUGCUUACAACUCUUUUUACACAAUUGUAGUUCUAAGAUCAUGCAAUAAGUGUGACAUCCGAGAAAUUCGUAGUUCUUACGUUUUCGACUCUACAUGUAAGGAGCUUACAUAUAAGGUUUCCAUUUCUCACCAUUUUGUAUAAUAUAAAGUGCAAUACAAAAUAACAAGUUGUCUUCAGUAUUGAACAGUGCAACCCGCUGGUCCA